AUUGAACGCUGGCGGCAGGCCUAACACAUGCAAGUCGAACGAGUGGCGGACGGGUGAGUAAUGUCUGGGCAACUGCCUGAUGGCGGGGGAUAACUACUGGAAACGGUAGCUAAUACCGCAUACCAUCAGAUGUGCCCAGCUGGGAUUAGCUAGUUGGUGGGGUAACGGCUCACCAAGGCGACGCUCCCUAGCUGGUCUGAGAGGAUGACGAGCCACACUGGAACUGAGAAACGGUCCAGACUCCUACGGGAGGGAGCAGUGGGGAAUAUUGCACAAUGGGCGCAAGUCUGAUGCAGCAAUGCCGCGUGUAUGAAGAAGGCCUUCGGGUUGUAAAGUACUUUCAGCGGGGAGGCGUUACCCGCAGAAGAAGCACCGGCUAACUCCGUGCCAGCCGCCGCGGUAAUAC
rnacentral:rRNA from 1 species